rnacentral:rRNA from 1 species
UACACUCCUGCGGGAGGCAGCAGUGGGGAAUAUUGGACAAUGGGCGCAAGCCUGAUCCAGCCAUGCCGCGUGAGUGAUGAAGGCCCUAGGGUUGUAAAGCUCUUUUGUGCGGGAAGAUAAUGACGGUACCGCAAGAAUAAGCCCCGGCUAACUUCGUGCCAGCAGCCGCGGUAAUACGAAGGGGGCUAGCGUUGCUCGGAAUCACUGGGCGUAAAGGGUGCGUAGGCGGGUCUUUAAGUCAGGGGUGAAAUCCUGGAGCUCAACUCCAGAACUGCCUUUGAUACUGAAGAUCUUGAGUUCGGGAGAGGUGAGUGGAACUGCGAGUGUAGAGGUGAAAUUCGUAGAUAUUCGCAAGAACACCAGUGGCGAAGGCGGCUCACUGGCCCGAUACUGACGCUGAGGCACGAAAGCGUGGGGAGCAAACAGGAUUAGAAACCCCGGUAGUCCCAUG